UGAAAAAUCAUGAACUUUGUGAACUUUAUUAAGAUCUCUAGGUGAGAUNAAUCUAGUGUAUGAAUGAAUAUUGAGGCUCCUUCAAGGGAGGUUAUCCCUAAUACUCUGACGGUCAGUCAUUCUCAAAUAGAGAGGAUUGACGCGGGUGGUGAGAGUAGUGGGAAGUCCUAGGGUAGACGCUUCCACUGUAGGUCUAUUCCGCGGUAACAGACUCGCCUUGUGUGUGGUCGGGUGAAACCCCUCGGCAAUGGCUUUGCAAAGCAGUAGAGUGUACCACAAGUGCAACACCUGCCCAAGAUCAAUAUUCAUUCCUAGUCCGGACGAGUCUAGGUCAAUUAGGAAAUUAUAUGUUUGAUUUGUGGUUGUUUAUAUACUCUGUCUAUUAAAAAUGUACUGAACUUGUAUGGUUUUGAAUACUAGCUCACCCUUGCACUUGUAUGUUGUUUGUUUUGUAUGUCCUGGUUCUUCCCUUUGCGAUGAUAAUCCUUUUUGGAUGUGAGCAGAUGCAGCAGAUGACACCUCUCUAGAGCAGGCUUUGGACAGCGAUGAGCCAGCCCCUAGCACUUAGUAGCUUCUUAGCUUAGUUCAUUUAGUUUUAUUUCUAUUUCCUAUUGUUCUCCCUUCUCUUUUAUAUUUUGAAAGACUUUACGAUUGAGUAAAACUUUUGAAUUACUCACUUUAUGGAUGACUGUAUAUAUUUAUACUAGUACCAUAUCA
rnacentral:lncRNA from 1 species